UCUAACCCUGUCUCAGGCGACUCCAGCUACGGCGCCUUCAGACGUCCCUCCUAAACAGUCGAAAGAGCUUGAGAGACGGACUUUAAGAAGUUGCUCUUUUAUUUAAAAACUAAAAAAGAAAACUAGUCCGAUUAAUUCAAUAAACGUGGGACGUUAUUAGACAACACCAGCUUCGGCAUUCCAACCAUUCGGAUCAGCAGAAUUCGAGAACCCGGAAAUGUUAUUUUUAACUGCGUCACAGUGUAUAACGCUUUUAGGCAUCUUUGUGUUUGUCUCUGCAGGUGAGAUUUCUCUCGUUCUCUGUGUCAACUGAAUUGACACAGAGCUUUGCAUAAAGAUGUCGAUUUUUUUUCAUAAUUUAAUAGUCAUUAAUUUGUUGGUGUUUUGUCUUCUGUCAACUUGACAGCGUCUAAACGUGUCUCUAAUACUACUAACAUGUUAUGUGUUCAGUUUAGCACCGAACUAACUGAUUUUAAAUGAUUUGUUGGUGCACUAAAAUCCUUACUACAACUACUAUAUUUUUGAAUGAGAGUGCGCGCGCAUCAUCGCAACAAUCCCGUUCAUCAUUUUUCCGAGAGCCUGGCUGUCUGUGAACCAAAAGACGCGGAACAAAGCCAGAGAGGAAACGAUGAUCACUGAAAAGUGGCAUGCUGCUCAUUGGGGCACCAGGACAUGUUAUUUUGGUGAAUGGCCAACUGACCGGUGAUGUCAUAGCGAGCAGAAAUGAAUAAGCGGACCUCUAAAAAAUCUGCACAGCUGGCAAAAAUGCCACCUUCAUCAACAAACUGUAUGCCCUCUUUAAAAUAUCCAUAGAACAAUAGAUUCACGUGUACACCGUUUCUCUCCCCUUCCCUUUCUCCAAGCAACUCCUGCAACACCUGUUUCUUGUCUAAUGUUAGGUAAGCAACAGGUGUAACUGACAGGAAGGGGAGAAAAUUUUAAAAAGUUAAUGUUAAACAAAUGGCAGCAAGGUACCAGACCAGACAACGACGCUACAUCUUAAAAAAAAUAACUCAUAAAUAAAACGAAACAUCUAAUUUGGCUACCAAGUGUCUGUGAAACCACACUUUGACCCAUCGCCCCUGUCAUCAAUAUCAGACUCAUAACCCUGGGAAUGUGAUGUGAUCAGUCUGAAGUUAACUAGCUCAAAGUUUCCUUGGACCUCAGAAGGAGACUCUACGAGCAUCACUAGCAAAUAUUGAUUAUUUUUAAUUUUUAAUUUUUAUUUUUUUUGGAGACGUUUGAACAGAGCCGUCCUCGUUCUUGUUUUUAUCUUAAUUAUCCCCCCUUGUUUGCUGAAGACAAUGUAAUUAUUUUGUAAGCAGUAUUAUAUAAUGCCAAAACAAGACACAGUGUAAUUUUUACAUUGACUAAGCCUAUGUUUGAAUUGUUUCUAUAUUUAUUUGUUAUUCUCCGACUCUUAAAGACCACCAAGGCUGCAGCUGAAAGGAUAAAAUGUAAUUUAAACAUUAAAUUAAACAUUACAUUAAAUAAUAAA